rnacentral:rRNA from 1 species
AGUGAACGCUGGCGGUAGGCCUAACACAUGCAGGUCGAACGGCAGCACAGUAAGAGCUUGCUCUUACGGGUGGCGAGUGGCGGACGGGUGAGGAAUACAUCGGAAUCUACUUUUUCGUGGGGGAUAACGUAGGGAAACUUACGCUAAUACCGCAUACGACCUACGGGUGAAAGCAGGGGAUCUUCGGACCUUGCGCGAUUGAAUGAGCCGAUGUCGGAUUAGCUAGUUGGCGGGGUAAAGGCCCACCAAGGCGACGAUCCGUAGCUGGUCUGAGAGGAUGAUCCGCCACACUGGAACUGCGACACGGUGCAGAAGACUACGGGAGGCAGCAGUGGGGAAUAUUGGACAAUGGGCGCAAGCCUGAUCCAGCCAUACCGCGUGGGUGAAGAAGGCCUUCGGGUUGUAAAGCCCUUUUGUUGGGAAAGAAAAGCAGCAGGUUAAUAUCCCGCUGUUCUGACGGUACCCAAAGAAUAAGCACCGGCUAACUUCGUG